rnacentral:rRNA from 1 species
AGCGAACGCUGGCGGCAUGCCUAACACAUGCAAGUCGAACGAGACCUUCGGGUCUAGUGGCGCACGGGUGCGUAACGCGUGGGAACCUGCCCUUAGGUUCGGAAUCACUCCCCGAAAGGGGUGCUAAUACCGGAUAAUGUCUUCGGACCAAAGAUUUAUCGCCUUUGGAUGGGCCCGCGUUGGAUUAGCUAGUUGGUAGGGUAAAAGCCUACCAAGGCGACGAUCCAUAGCUGGUCUGAGAGGAUGAUCAGCCACACUGGGACUGAGACACGGCCCAGACUCCUACGGGAGGCAGCAGUGGGGAAUAUUGGACAAUGGGCGAAAGCCUGAUCCAGCAAUGCCGCGUGAGUGAUGAAGGCCUUAGGGUUGUAAAGCUCUUUUACCCGGGAUGAUAAUGACAGUACCGGGAGAAUAAGCUCCGGCUAACUCCGUG